CUUGCCUCCGUCUCCAGCUCGCCACACGGGCCACAGCGCCAGCAGCCGGUGUCUGACUUUGUUUAGCUUCAGCCGUAGCCACACGGCGUCCAUGCUGGCUGAUCCUCAUUUUGAACAACGUGCUAAAGAAGUUUUCAGGCGCUCGCAUAAAAACCUACAACCGUCAACUAAAUGAAACAGAAAAUCAUCAAUAACCCUCAUAGCCUCACCAUUAUAAUGAAAAGGUUACUUGUUAGGUACCAGAAAUGAAAGAAAAUUUAAAGGCAAAUACUCACCUUGUAUUUUAAAGGUGACAUCUUCAACUCUAGUUACCUAUUUUACCGGCAUCAAGUGAACGUCUUCCGUCUGCUUAAAUCGAUGGAGGAAGACAUUGGCGAAGCAAAAAACGGUAUGGCGAUUGCGGCAUGUGCUGGAGUUGGAGAAGCGCUAGCUCACAUCACAUAUAAGCGAAACUCUGCGCCGACAAGGGGAGGCCAAUCAAAGCCAGAGUUUUGCAUUGCGGAGCUUUACUGAUGAAUUUGGUCAGUACCAAAAACUAGCAAAUGGCGGUCUCGGUGGUGGCCAACACGUUACCAAUUAAACAACAAUUGCCCCUUAUACAGCGAUACAUCCAAGCACAGACUGCGUGCAUGAAAAAGGUCAGUGGAUGCUUUGGACGUUUCGUCAUAAAUUAUAUCAGGAGUAGUAACGGGGGUACUAUUUUGUAUUAUCUGGGGAGAGCUUGAGCUACCGUGCGGCUGUUCCAUACGAAAUCGCUAGUACGCUCCGCUAUUUGACUUGUUUAGGAGCGUUAGUGUGCCAACAACUCAUCAAUUACUAGAGCACUAUUGCGGUCCGAAACAAUUUUAAAUACCGGAGUGUUAUAAUUUGGUAUGGAAUAGUCGCAACGCCAUCUAUGGAGCUUAACACGCGUAGCUCCAGGGGUUUUGCAGACGUUACUACUCUUGGUUCACUUCAAGGUUUCGUCGAAAAAAGUCAUUAAAGGAAUGUUAUGAUUUGUUUCCACAAUUGAAGGUUUAUUUAUUCUUGCCUCAUGAUUGUGCACACCGAUUGUUUAUCUUGAUGAGGACAAACUGUACCAAAAACACUCAUUUAAGUUCAUUCGAGGAGCGAUCUGAGGUACUAUGUUGCAGGUAGCCUAACAGGAUACAAUAUUGGAAAGGAACAUGUUAGAAUUAACCAUUUAACUAGCAGUCAAAACUACAGGACUACAGAAACAACGGAAACUGGUGGCCGAAUUUGUUGGUGUUAUUAAACUCAUGUUGAAAAUGUUUGGCAUAUCGCUGUUUCUCACUUAGCAGCAACAAACACUAGAUGAAGUAUCUGAAACGGAAUUCUACGUUCCAACGACCUUCUAGAUAACGUAGCUGGAUCAGCGUCGCAGCGGGUGAGUAGAGGAUUUGAUGGCUUCAAACAAGUUCAAGAACUCGCCACAGAAUUGGAAGCAGGCAGUCUAUUUGCCUGGCCAACGUUUUCCCAAUGGGCGUGGCCUUCCAAGUUCCCUCUCAUACCAGAUGCUCACCGAGACUCAGAAGCAGCGCCCGAUCGUAUCCGCCAACAUCUUGCUCAAGUUGCGACUGUCUUGCUGAUCUCGGCCAGAGUGUUUUUCGAUCGCAUAGAAAUGAAAGCAUUCUGUGAGGCCAAAACCAAAUCGAUGGGAUAACCUAAACUCCGUCUGAUUUUGUUACCUCACGUCGUGUAUGGGGAUUGGCCCAUGGACAAACCACUGGACAUUUCCCAAUAUGCCUUACCGAUCAUGGAUUGGGGGGAACUCAUAGUGGAGUCAUCGUCGAUGUUCAAACGAGAAUGUCACUCAUCCCCGUUGGUCCUGUCCGUUUGCUCUGUCAUAUCCCUUUGCUGAUCCUGGAGUACCUUUGUUACCAGCACAUUUUCGAAGUGACGCAGUGUCAAAGGUAAACUGGUGAUCUGUACGAGUGGCUGUUAUCGUUCUCUUUAAUUUCGAACGUGAAACACCCGAUAUCCUUACGGUUGAUGCGGAUGUUGACGUGUUUGACUUGGCUUUCAGAAUCGUCUAUGACCACCAACAAUCGGUCCCCGACAAAGCACGGAAGUAAUAGUUCUAUAGUGCAUUUAAGCAACUGUCGUACCAAACGGUGUGCAAGAAAUUGGAACAUUGCACUCAUUUCAAAGAAAUUUAUCAACUUGAAAAAACUUUCCUGGGAAAAGAAAUGCUGAAUGCACACAUCAUGUGUCCCAUGAAAUCUCUGAACAACUAGUUUACGUAGGUGAUUUGAAUCAGCCAUCCAAAAGCUGCAGUCGCCUUAAAGGUGUUUGGAUUGCUACCUUCUAAAGGCAAUCUAAUUUCAACGUCCAUCGAUUCAAGACCAUUAUGGAAGGUGAAUUUCCAUCGGUGGUCAAAGCGAUACGUUUACCGUCCAUCGUAAGGAAAUAGGUGCUAAAUUUCCCAAUUUCAACUGAAAAUGUCAGAGACAGCGUGGCUUCGUAGCAACCACUUAUUAUCAACUCCUGAUGCAAAGGGGGAAAAGUCCAAUUCUCAAAUGGGUGUGUGGUGUCCAGCCGAUUGCAGUCUCUAGACGAAGACGAUGUGGUGAAUUUCCAGAUAUGACUUCCUUUCAAAAGAAUAUAACCGAAGACGAGUCCUUCUGCGUAAACGUCGCUUUUGAUGGAGCCUUUAGUUUGUUUAAUAAUCAGUAUGUUUUUUCCGG
rnacentral:lncRNA from 1 species